rnacentral:rRNA from 1 species
AGUAGUUUGAUCAUGGCUCGAGGACGACGCUGGCGGCGUGCCUAACACAUGCAAGUCGAACGGAGCUGUUUUGGAUUUCCUUCGGGGAAUGAAUUUACAGCUUAGUGGCGAACGGGUGAGUAACGCGUGAGCAACCUGCCUUUCAGAGGGGGACAACAGUUGGAAACGACUGCUAAUACCGCAUGAUAUCAUAUGGGGGCAUCCCUGAAUGAUCAAAGAUUUUAUCGCUGAAAGAUGGGCUCGCGUCUGAUUAGCUAGUUGGUGGGGUAACGGCUCACCAAGGCUGCGAUCAGUAGCCGGACUGAGAGGUUGAUCGGCCACAUUGGGACUGAGAUACGGCCCAGACUCC